UACAGAGGUCUCAAGCGUUGUUCGGAAUUACUGGGCGUAAAGGGUGCGCAGGCCGCACGGGCAGUCAAAUGUGUAAUUCAGAGGCUCAACCUCUGGACUGCGCUUGAUACUUCCGUGCUCGAACCUUGGAGAGGAGUCUGGAAUUCUCGGUGUAGCAGUGAAAUGCGUGGAUAUCGAGAAGAACACCAGUGGCGAAGGCGGCUAUCUGGACUUCAACUGACACUGAGGCGCGAAAGCGUGGGGAGCGAACAGG
rnacentral:rRNA from 1 species